GCACCGGGGCGGGGGCGGAGGGGUGGUGGGGGAGCGGUCGGGUGAGGGACGCGGUGGCGGCGGGGGAUUCUGGGAAGCCGGGAGGCCAGCUUCCAGGCGGGGGUUUUUCCCUCCCUCCGCACAUGUGUAAGAGCGGACCACCAGGAACUGCUUAACCCGGGAUUUGUCCUGUUUAGGCAUCGGGGAGAACGUGGUCGUUGUUGUUGAUAUCUUAAAGGAAAUGGCAAGUUACUUAAUUAUACGGUUCGGUCUCCCUUGCCAGGAGGGACCCCCUCUCCAAACCCGAAACUGUACACAUCCUGUUGCAGAAAUGUCCCCCCGACAUUCCUGGACGGGAAUGGCCCCGGUGGGCCUGGGGAGUGUGUGAGUUCCUCUGGACCGCCCUGGAGAGCCUUUCUCAAUGUUCUGCUCGCUUGAUUCCUGAAUUAGACUUUGAAAGCAGCGGAAGUUCCCAGACAGCCAGAGGGAGAAUGCCCCAAGAACCCACUGUGUAAUCCCGGCCAGGUUCUGGGCACGGGCUGCCUCCUGGGUCUCCCUGUGUCACAGAAAUGAAAGCUGGGGUGCCCCCUCUCAUGCCUCUGGUUUCCCCAUGUUCCCUGGUGUUGGAGGGGAAAAGCCCUUAGGGGUCACAAUCAGCCCCCGGUGCUGGUCCCAGGCCAGCCAUGGAGGGGGCGGGCAAGGGUGAUCCAAAAGGGGUCAGCAGUGUACAGGAGGAAGCUGCAGGCUUGUGUCUCCCAGGGCCCCCAGCCAGCCCCACUCUGGGCCAGGCAGUGUGAUGCAGCUUAGAGCUUUACCCGGAGGUGACAUCUGGACAGUGACAGAGUCCCAGAAGAUGUUGCUGACAAGGAUCAUGUCUGUCUUUUGCGAAGUUGCUUCUAUCAGCAGGACAGUUUGCUUUGGUCUCUGCAAAUCAUCCAGUGUCUUAACCCAUCAUGCCGGUACCUUGCUGUUUCAAUGAUUAACGUAUUGCUGAAAUGAAGCUUUGGCCCCUUUGGGGUGGGGAGCAAGAGGGAGGAGCAGACUUGUGUGUCUGUAUUUCUGUGGCCUCUGUCCCAGAAACAGCAGCGGACAGGUCCAGAUUUGAACCUCGGCUGCCCAUUCCUUCUGACGUGAGAGCUACAGCCGAGGCUGAGACUGGGAGUGUGGCCUAUCUAGGGCCAGCCUGGAAGCUCCUCCUCGUGGCCAGUCUCUGGAGGUGUGCGUGCUAG
rnacentral:lncRNA from 1 species